rnacentral:rRNA from 1 species
GAUGAACGCUGGCGGCGUGCCUAAUACAUGCAAGUCGAGCGAACAGACGAGGAGCUUGCUCCUCUGACGUUAGCGGCGGACGGGUGAGUAACACGUGAUAACCUACCUAUAAGACUGGGAUAACUUCGGGAAACCGGAGCUAAUACCGGAUAAUAUAUUGAACCGCAUGGUUCAAUAGUGAAAGACGGUUUUGCUGUCACUUAUAGAUGGAUCCGCGCCGCAUUAGCUAGUUGGUAAGGUAACGGCUUACCAAGGCGACGAUGCGUAGCCGACCUGAGAGGGUGAUCGGCCACACUGGAACUGAGACACGGUCCAGACUCCUACGGGAGGCAGCAGUAGGGAAUCUUCCGCAAUGGGCGAAAGCCUGACGGAGCAACGCCGCGUGAGUGAUGAAGGUCUUCGGAUCGUAAAACUCUGUUAUUAGGGAAGAACAAAUGUGUAAGUAACUAUGCACGUCUUGACGGUACCUAAUCAGAAAGCCACGGCUAACUACGUG